AGCGGAUUGGAGUAGCGGCUAACUCACCGGAAUCAUAAUCCGGAAAUCGUAGGUUCGAGUCCUACAUCCGCCA
rnacentral:tRNA from 1 species